GGUCCCGGUUACCUGCAUUGGGUGUGAAAGAGUACAAAUUUCUCUUAUUUCCCUGGCUACUGAACAUUUAUUACAGAAUUGGCUACAGGCCUUGUCUUUUCUGAGAGAUCCAAGAUACCAGGUGAUCUGGGUGGAAAACUUGGCCUUCAGCACAACUGCCACACCGACAGAGAUGCUAUAGCAGAUUAGAAGAUGGAAAAAGAGAAUGCGUGAUGACAUGUUUAACAAGAUAAUGAAUGCCUCCGGGACAGCUGAUAUGGAACUCAGAGCCUGGAUGAUUUCAUUGUCUGAAAAACUGGACAUAGACAUGGAAAGCAGGAGAACAUCCCGAGAUCAUGAGCAUGCCACACAGGAUGAGAUGCUGCAGAUUAUGAUGGACCAAUCAGAUAGGUUGAGGCAUGUGGUUGAGCUUCAAGAAAAACAGCUUGAGGCUAGACUCCCUCUGUUGCCCCCCCCAAUGGCCUGCAAACAUUGACCUGUUUCCAAUCUCUCUUCCCCAAACA